rnacentral:rRNA from 1 species
UACGGGGGGGGCAAGCGUUGUUCGGAAUUACUGGGCGUAAAGGGCUCGUAGGCGGCCAACUAAGUCAGACGUGAAAUCCCCAGGCUCAACCUGGGAACUGCGUCUGAUACUGGAUGGCUUGAAUCCGGGAGAGGGAUGCAGAAUUCCAGGUGUAGCGGUGAAAUGCGUAGAUAUCUGGGAGAUACCGGUGGCGAAGGCGGCAUCCUGGACCGGCAUGACGCUGAGGAGCGAAAGCCAGGGGAGCAAAGCGGG